rnacentral:rRNA from 1 species
GAGUUUGAUUCUUGCUCAGGAUGAACGCUGGCGGUAUGCCUAACACAUGCAAGUUGAACGGUUUCUGUAGCAGGAAAUAGUAGCGGACGGGUGAGUAAUAUGUAAGAAUCUACAUUUAGGAUAGGGAUAACAAUUGGAAACGUUUGCUAAUACCUAAUAUUGCUAUUUAGUGAAAGAUUUUUCGCCUAAAUACGAGCUUAUAUCUGAUUAGUUAGUUGGUAAGGUAACGGCUUACCAAGACGAUGAUCGGUAGUUGGUUUGUGAAAAUGAUCAACCACAUUGGAAUUGAGAUAAGGGACAAACUUCUACGGAAGGCAGCAGUGGGGAAUAUUUCUAUAAUGAGUGAAAGCUUGAAGGAGCAAUACCGCGUGGAGGACGAAGGCCUUUGGGUUGUAAACUUCUUUUCUCAUUGAAGAAGAUCUGACGGUAUUUGAGGAAUAAGGAUCGGCUAAUUUUGUGCCAGCAGCCGCGGUAAUACAAGAGAUCCGAGCGUUAUUUGUUGUUAUUGGGCGUAAAGAGUCUGUAGGUUGUUGGAUGUGUUUAGUGUUAAAUCCCAAAGCUUAACUUUGGUCCAGCGCUAAAAACUGUUUGACUUGAGUUUGGUAGGGGUAAAGGGUAUUUCCAGUGUAGUGGUGAAAUGCGUAGAUAUUGGAAAGAACGUCAAUCGCGAAGGCGCUUUGCUGGGCUAUUUACUGACACUGAGAGACGAAAGCUAAGGGAACAAAACGGAUUAGAUACCCGUGUAGUCUUAGCCGUAAACGAUGGGUACUAAAUGAUACAAGUUUGUAUUGUUGCAGCUAACGCGUAAGUAUCCCGCCUGGGGAGUAUGCUUGCAAAAGUGAAACUCAAAGGAAUUGACGGGGGCUCGCACAAGCAGUGGAGCAUGUGGUUCAAUUCGAUGUUACCCGAAUAAUCUUACCAGAGUUUGACAUGCUAGGAAAUUUCUGAAAGGGGAUGUGCCGUAAGGAACCUAGACACAGGUAGUGCAUGGCUGUCGUCAGCUCGUGUCGUGAGAUGUUGGGUUAAGUCCCGCAACGAGCGCAACCCUUGUUUUUAGUUGUUUUUUUCUUUCUAAAAAGACUGCCGGUUAUAAAUCGGAGGAAGGUGAGGAUGAGGUCAAGUCAACAUGCUCUUUAUACUCUGGGCUACACACGUGCUACAAUGGUUAAGACAAUGAGUUGCGAACUUGUGAAGGUAAGCUAAUCUCAAAAACUUAAUCUAAGUUCAGAUUAUAGGCUGUAACUCGCCUAUAUGAAGGCGGAAUUGCUAGUAAUCGCCGAUCACCUAUGCGGCGGUGAAUACGUUYUCGAGCCUUGUACACACCGCCCGUCACACCAUGGAAGUUGGCUAUACCUGAAGAUGUUACUUUAACUUACAACAGAUGGGGGCAUCUAAGGUAGGGCUAGUAACUAGGGUGAAGUCGUAACAAGGUAGCUCUGGGGAAAGGGGGGG